rnacentral:sRNA from 1 species
GAAAGGUGAGACAUCCUUCGCCACGAUUC